ACCUUGUGAACCGCCUGCCUCAGCCUCCCAAAGUGCUGGGAUUACAAGUGUGAGCCACCGCGCCUGGCCAAAAAGACAAUCUUUCUCACAUCUGGGGCCUGCCACACAGUACUCAAUGAAUCCUAGAAGAUUGAUGGGAACAGCUUAUUUUCACCAUGGAUGGGGCUUAUGCCAGGCAUAAAAGCUGAUGGAAGAGCACUUUGAAGGAAAAGUCUUUUUUUCUCUUUGCUGAUGUAAACUGGCCUGUUUCCUGUCUCAGUUUGAAUCCAGGGACUGAGGCUAUAAACUAACUCAGGAGGCUCUUAGUGGCCUUCUCUCUUAUCCGACUGGAUAAAUAAUUUAGCCCAUUACAGUGCCAAGUCCGAGCUGCAGCGUUUCCAAGGAGGGGACACCCUGGCCUCGGUUAACAGCAUAGCUCUGCUGUUCCUGGGCCCUCUUUCAAUGUGGCACUGUGGUAGCGAGAGCUUUCUCAGCCUAACAAAAAGUGGAGUUUCCUACUUGUAGGGCAAGAAGGACUUAAAGAAGAGGAUUUAUCCAUAGGAGUUGAACCGAGCAACCACCCAUAAGAAUGAAGCCCUUCAGUACAAGGCUGACAGCUGCUUACCUGCCUUCUACGGGAUUCCGGUUGAUACUGUGCAGUGCUCGUCAACAGGGUGCCUGGGCUCACAGAACGGGGCUGCUGGGCCCCCCUGUACUGUGGCCAUUCUCCAUUCUCUCUAUCUGCUGGCCUUCAUGGCCCUUGACCAGCUUGUUCUUGUCAGGCCAGGAAAACACGAUCAUCUGUCUGCUUUUUGUCUGCUACCCCACACAAAUGACUAUGAAAAUCAAAUAAAAGAGCUUCAAGGGGAAGACCAAGUUCCAUUUGUUA